GAUGAAGAACGUAGCGAAAUGCGAUACGUAAUGUGAAUUGCAAAUUCAGUGAAUCAUCGAGUCUUUGAACGCACAUUGCGCCCCCUGGUAUUCCGGGGGGCAUGCCUGUCCGAGCGUCAUUGCUGCCCUCAAGCACGGCUUGUGUGUUGGGCCCCGUCCUCCGAUCCCGGGGGACGGGCCCGAAAGGCAGCGGCGGCACCGCGUCCGGUCCUCGAGCGUAUGGGGCUUUGUCACCCGCUCUGUAGGCCCGGCCGGCGCUUGCCGAUCAACCCAAAUUUUUUAUCCAGGUUGACCUCGGAUCAGGUAGGGAUACCCGCUGAACUUAAGCAUAUCAAUAAGCGGAAGA
rnacentral:misc_RNA from 1 species